GGGGGGGGGUGGGGGGGGGGCUGGGGGGUGCAGGGCGAGCGGGGAGGGGAGGGGCUUGCUCCUCGGACGUUAGCGGCGGAAGGGUGAGUAACAGGUGGGUAACCUCCCUAUAAGACUGGGAUAACUUCGGGACCCCGGAGCUCAUCCCGGAUAAUAUAUUGCACCGCAGGGUUCAAUAGUGAAAGACGGUUUUGCUGUCACUUAUAGAUGGCUCCGCGCCUCACUGUCUAGUUGGUAAGGUAACGGCUUACCAAGGCGACUAUGCGUAGCCGACAUGAGAGGGUGAUCGGACACACUGGAACUGAGACACGGUCCAGACUCCUACGGGAGGCAGCAGUAGGGAAUCUUCCGCAAUGGGCGGAAGCCUGACGGAGCAACGCCGCGUGAGUGAUGAAGGUCUUCGGAUCGUAAAACUCUGUUAUUAGGGAAGAACAAAUGUGUAAGUAACUAUGCACGUCUUGACGGUACCUAAUCAGAAAGCCACGGCUAACUACGUG
rnacentral:rRNA from 1 species